rnacentral:miRNA from 1 species
UUCUGAUUAGAGAGCAACACC